rnacentral:rRNA from 1 species
GAUGAACGCUGGCGGCGUGCUUAACACAUGCAAGUCGAACGACGAAGCCCAGCUUGCUGGGUGGAUUAGUGGCGAACGGGUGAGUAACACGUGAGUAACCUGCCCUUGACUCUGGGAUAAGCCUGGGAAACUGGGUCUAAUACUGGAUAUGACUUCUCAUCGCAUGGUGGGGGGUGGAAAGAUUUAUUGGUCUUGGAUGGACUCGCGGCCUAUCAGCUUGUUGGUGAGGUAAUGGCUCACCAAGGCGACGACGGGUAGCCGGCCUGAGAGGGUGACCGGCCACACUGGGACUGAGACACGGCCCAGACUCCUACGGGAGGCAGCAGUGGGGAAUAUUGCACAAUGGGCGCAAGCCUGAUGCAGCGACGCCGCGUGAGGGAUGACGGCCUUCGGGUUGUAAACCUCUUUCAGUAGGGAAGAAGCGAGAGUGACGGUACCUGCAGAAGAAGCGCCGGCUAACUACGUG